GAGCAAGAGUGUCGAUAAAAGAUGUCCCAAAUUUCUUUGAAGGUUGGUGAUAUGAAAUAAAAUCCAAGUGAUUCUCUGUGCGUAUCAAAUCUCUCUCUUUCAUUUUGAUAAUGGCCUCAAACAAGUUGCUACAUU